GAAGUGAAUAAAAUAGCUUUGGUGAAGCGAACCCGGGGAACUGAAACAUCUCAGUACCCGGAGGAAAGGACAUCAACAGAGACUCCCGUAGUAGUGGCGAGCGAACCGGGACCAGGCCAAUGCCUUUGAUUCAACUAGCAGAAGCUUCUGGAAAGGAGCGCCAUAGUGGGUGACAGCCCCGUAUGCGAAAGUGAUGUCAAAGGAUUUGAGUAGGGCGGGACACGUGAAAUCCUGUCUGAACAUGGGGGGACCACCCUCCAAGCCUAAGUACUCCUCAGCGACCGAUAGUGAACCAGUACCGUGAGGGAAAGGCGAAAAGAACCCCGGGAGGGGAGUGAAAUAGAUCCUGAAACCGCGUGCUUACAAAAAGUAGGAGCCUCGUAAGGGGUGACUGCGUACCUUUUGUAUAAUGGGUCAGCGACUUACAUUCAGUGGCAAGGUUAACCGAAUAGGGAAGCCGUAGAGAAAUCGAGUCCGAAUAGGGCGAUCAGUCGCUGGGUGUAGACCCGAAACCAAGUGAUCUAUCCAUGGCCAGGAUGAAGGUGCCGUAACAGGUACUGGAGGUCCGAACCGACUAGUGUUGCAAAACUAGCGGAUGAGCUGUGGAUAGGGGUGAAAGGCUAAACAAACUUGGAAAUAGCUGGUUCUCUCCGAAAACUAUUUAGGUAGUGCCUCAAGUAUUACCAUCGGGGGUAGAGCACUGUUUUGGCUAGGGGGUCAUGGCGACUUACCAAACCAAGGCAAACUCCGAAUACCGAUGAGUACAGCUUGGGAGACAGAGCACCGGGUGCUAACGUCCGGACUCAAGAGGGAAACAACCCAGACCGCCAGCUAAGGUCCCUAAAAUUGGCUAAGUGGGAAACGAAGUGGGAAGGCUAAAACAGUCAGGAUGUUGGCUUAGAAGCAGCCAUCAUUUAAAGAAAGCGUAAUAGCUCACUGAUCGAGUCGUCCUGCGCGGAAGAUGUAACGGGGCUAAGCCAGUUACCGAAGCUGCGGAUUUGCAAUUUAUUGCAAGUGGUAGGAGAGCGUUCUGUAAGCCUGUGAAGGUGCGUUGUAAAGCGUGCUGGAGGUAUCAGAAGUGCGAAUGCUGACAUGAGUAGCGUUAAAGGGGGUGAAAAGCCCCCUCGCCGUAAGCGCAAGGUUUUCUACGCAACGUUCAUCGGCGUAGAGUGAGUCGGCCCCUAAGGCGAGGCAGAGAUGCGUAGCUGAUGGGAAACAGGUCAAUAUUCCUGUACCG
rnacentral:rRNA from 1 species